GAGAAUGGGGUAGAGGAAGCUGUGGGGAAAACUCACCGUGCCUGUGGUUCGAGAUCCCGGCCUUCCUCCUCCCUUCCUC
rnacentral:miRNA from 1 species